CUGCAAACACAGGUUCAAGAUAAGCUUGGAAGAGCCCCUCCCAGCAGCUAAGCCACUCCUGAUGGACCUCCUGGAAUGAUGGGCCAAACUGAGCCACCGGGGACACAGCGUGGAAGGGGAUUGCUAAUUCUUUCUGCUGAGGGAGGCUGCCUGUGGGAGAGCCCGGACUUCAGCCUCACUCCUCCAUGAGUGACAAGCUUAUGUGAGGGGUCCUACUGAGGACACAGCCCCAGGAGAGCCCCUGCCUGGGCACGGCAGGGAUGGGGUCAGACUCCGCUGCAGGGCUGGUUUCCAUAGAGGGAGGAGCUUUGGGUUUUCAGCCAACUGCAUGGCCAUUAGGCAAAUGUUUGGGGCUUGCUUUUGGUUGUGCUUUAAACUGAGAAAAUAAAUCAGUUCGUCUUGGGGGAGUGGAAUUUUAUAGUUACAAGAGGAACGAGCAUUGAGUCUGAUUGUCCUUGGGCAGCAACUAAAACUGCACAGUCUCGCCUCUGUUGCGUUCAGGCCUCGGCCAGCAGCUCAACCACAAGAAAUCAUAGAAUGGAAAAUGCCUGGGUGUCAAAGAAAGGUGUGGAAAGAAGGAAACCCAUGCAGAGCCACGGAUUUGCCCAAGGUUACAGCUCGUACCAGGUGACUGAACAGUGUGGGAGCGGGAACCGAGUCCUUCCAUGACCCUGUUUGUCCCCAGCACCCACCAAGGUGCCUGGAGGAGUGUGGUGCCCAUGAGGAGGUGGUCCUUGAGCUGAACAUUAAAGAUGGGCAAGUCCUCUUCUCACUCCAAAUAAGCAGUAAGGAGACAGGGAACAUCCCCAGAGGAAGGAAUAUUCACAGAUUCCAGAAUUUCAAAGUCUUAACAUUUUUGAUGAUUAGCCUGCAGACUGUGGGAGCUGUACCAGGACAGUCACCCAAAGUGAAGGGAAGGAGCAUGAACUACAGCAAUCCAGAGACUAUAAGUCAACACUUCUACAUAAUUUUUGAAAAAUAGAUGCUUUGCUGCCAAAGAUUGUAACUUGUCUAUUGGCAGUCUAUGGAGAUAGGAUGUUUUCACCUGCAAAAAGCAAAAGACUCCAGCUCAACUCAGAUUGGCUUAAGGAACAAGGAUGACUAUCACUUUCCACAACCGGAAGUUCAGAGGAAGGGGAAGUCCAAGCUCGGACCAGUCCUGCUGGGGAGCCAACCACCACAAUCACCGCAAGGAGACACCAGUCAUUUUCCAGGCUCCUUUUCUGAAAUGAAUGCCAUGUCUUUAUCCAGAUAUCAAACUCUUACUAGCCCAUGGAAAUAAAAAUCUUUAAAAGGAUAAAACCCUGAAAUUUCAUAAACGAAGGUCCUCAUUUUCUCCUGACUGAUGAUGAAUUGUCCCUAUCAACCAGGGAGUCACCUUGCUUUCCAUAAAAGUAACCAUUUCUGAGAAUUGUAAAAUAUGGAUCGGCUAACCAAAUAUCAUUUUAAAUGCAACAGAGCAGCUUGAUAUUUAGAAGCACUAUUUGGUGGAAAAGGUUUUGAUGAUAAAUGACCGGAACCCCAGGAUAACAGAGUUGAAGGUAAAGAUUAAUCUCCUCUCCAACUCUAAACAUCACUUUAAAAAUAAUAAAUUAAACAAAAGGCACAAUCUCAUAAGGACAAAGAGAGUGGGAAAGGAGUCAUCAGCAACAAAAUUUCAGAGGCUGAAAACAGAUAGAUGAGUCAUAUCUGACUUAGCAGACCCAAGGAAGCCAAAUUCCAAGGCAGCCUUAUGGAAAGCCAAGAAAUAUUCUAAUUUCAUAUUGGAGAACUCUCAAGAAGCUCCAGGACUGGUGGCUCCAGGUACCUCUGGAAGUGGAGGUAGCAGAGGGCUAAAAUGUGAGAACUGGUUAAAAACUGUAUAAGCAAUGGUUAGUUAGAUUUCUGGUUCUUUUCCUCUUCUUCACAUAGUAGCAACUUCCCUCUGCAGAAGUCUGAAGGCUGAUUCUCAAUAAACUGUAAAGGAGAGGGUCUGCACUGAAGGAACAUAGGUGAAAUUGAGGCCAGAGGUAUCAUACAGAAAACAGAGCCAUUACCUAAAAGCUUAUAUGCUAUCUGUUGAGAUCACUAACUUUCUUCUUCUCUCCAACACUAUGAACUCUGCAAACCAGAUUAUACGGUUCAGUCAAGAGGUGGUAGAAUAUGAUUCUCUGGGCAGCUGAUUAGCCCAAGAGAAAAGAUAAGAAGACACUGAUAGUAGGGGGUCCCUAGCCAGAUCAUUGUACACAUAAAACCACAGUGGACACAGCCCUGCUCCCUGAAGAGUCCAAUCUAUUGUUAAGUCCCCACUUUUAAGUAUCAUAAACAGCAAAGGAUAACCAGACAUUGGUGGAGAUUCUCUAACAUGAAAGAGGCCCGAAAAAAUAGAAAGAAAAAAGAAACUUGGAUGGAAGAAACUAUGCAAAGAGAAUAAAACAUAAAAAAAAAACUGUCAUAAUAGCCUUGCAGAGAUAAGAUAUAGCAUUCUGUAAAACAGAAACAGGAUACUGUGAGGACAGGAUAAAAGCCAUUGCAAGUUAACAAUCUGAAAGCAGAAGUGAAAAACUCAGUAGAAAGAUUAGAAAAUCAAGGUGGAGAAAUAUCCCAGAAAGUAGAGUAAAAAAGGUAAGGGUGGAAAAUAAGGAAGAAUAUCUUUAAAAAAAAAUAAAUACAGCACAAAUUAUGGAGUUCCAGUAAGAGAAUGGAGAAGAAGACACCAUCAAAUAAACAGUUUUAGAAGUUUUUCUAGAAUUGAAAAACAUAAAUUUCUGAACAAAAAGUAUCCACUAAAUGCCCAGCCAAGUGUAUAAACUCUUUGAUGCCAGACUCACGGCAGGCACAUCAUUGUAAAAUUUCAGAACGAAGGGACACGAGAAGAACCUGCAAGCUUUGAGAGGUAAGGGAGGGAUUGAUUUCAUUCAAAGAAACAAUCAUCAGAAUGAGAAUGCGUGAAUUUCACCACAGCUAAACUGGAAACAACAUGACAAUGAAACAGUGCCUUCCAAACUGAGCAGUAAUAUUUUCCUAUCUAAAAUUCUACGUCGAUUAAGUGUGAGAAUAUACUAGACAUUUGUUUACAUGUACAAGGACAAAAACAAGAAAUUAACCCUAUGUACUCUGUCUUAGAAAACUAGAGGAUGUGAGUCACCAGAACAAUUGAGUUAACUGAGAAAGAAAAGAAGAUAAGACCUAAAACAGAGAGGCGCCAUCCUAGAGAGAGGUGAGACUCCUUGGGGUGGUGAUGAAGGAACAUCCCAGACUGGCCCAGGUCCAGAGGCAACUGUGUUAAGAAAAUGGAAUUGACAGAACACUUACUGUGCUUAAACUUCUGAUGCUUACUGAAAGUAAAUGUACACAUUCAGAAGAAGGAUUAAAUUGAUGUUGAAUAUAUAGAAAAUUUGGCAAUUAAAAAAAAGGCAAUUAUUAACUCCAGGGUAAGCAGAAAGUUGAACGAGAAAGGAAGAGGUACCAUAGGACACAACAUGGUUCAGCAAUAAAUAGCAUUUACAGUCAGAAUAAUGUAAAUUAUGAAUAUGGAUGUAACUAAAGGACUCUGUAACUAUACGUGGGAGGUGUAGUGAGCAGGAAGGGUAUCCACGUGGACGUGUGUCUAAAGGGGCGGAGAAGGGUGUUAGAGCCUCACCUUCCACAGUUAGAAGUCAAUAGAUGAUGCCCAGAUUGCAAAAUCCAUGAAUAAAAAUAUCAGCACCUAUGGAAGGAAAUACUGAGAAAAUCAGUUGAAAGAGUUGAAAAUGGCUGCCUCAGGAUAGGGAGAAAUGGAGUUGGGUGGGGAGCUGGUGUUUUCCACAGCAAGUAGAACUAUUUGACUCUUUACGUAUUUGUGAAAUUUAGAUAAAAUUUUUUAAAUGUUAAAAAUAUACCUCCAUUAUGUGUUAUUCAGAUUUUUUUACACCUGGAAUUUAUCGAAAUGGUCACACUUGUGGAAGUGGCUUUAUGUUUCAGAGUGUCAUAAAGGAUGGUUUUUUUUUUCCUCCUGGUGAAGGUCUGACCUGAUCCCCUGCAGUGCAGUUGAAUAGCAAGGCUUGAUGACAGCAAACCAGAGCCUUGGUAGCCAAGCCUCCUGUGGGAGUUUUUUUUUUAUAAUUAUUUUGACUUCUCCAGAAAAAAUGAAAAGCAAGUUAUUUUCUGAUAGUCAGUUGAGCUCACAUGGAGCCCUGGAUUCUGUCUCCAGAGGAUGUGGAGGUAUCACUUCAGACCUUUGCCUGGCGCUGGUCAAAUCAUGAAAUGGUACCAACUGUGUAUGUAUCAGCCACUCAUUUAGUCAGUGGACAUGUAGGGAGCAGCUCACACAGGUCAAGCACAUGGAUGGAGACAAGGAUGGAUAAGACACAAGCGCUACCUUCAAAUGCUCACAGUCUAGCGGCUGGAUGUCUACACGGGGGCUUACACACCAUGCCCUGUCUUACUCCUGCGCUUUUCCUCGUAUUUCCCCCUCCCUGGAAUGCCCUUCUUACAAACCCUUACCCUUUCUGCAUUAGGACUGGUUGCCUCUAAUUCGUUAUUUAUGACUCAGCUAAAGAUCAUCUCCUCUAGGAAUCCUUCCCUGACUCUCCUUCCCUGCUGGGUGGAUUAAGGGCCACUCCUCUGGCCUUCCAUCCCUUCUUCUGGUGACAGAUACUACCUGUUUGGCCUUGAGAGUGGGCAAAUGAUACCUCCUGGACCAAUCAAAACAUCUUCCCCCCAAGCAAGCCAGUCAGCAUCCUUGCCUGGAAUUUUUCUGACUGGUAGAAAAGAGUCCUUUAUUUCCCUAAAAAUGCAUUUCUGGUGACCAGGUUCCCACAUAAGUGGGGUAAUGUUUAAAGGAAAGGAAUCAACAUUAAGAGAGAAGCAGAAAUAGAGGAGCUGUAGGUAGAGACGGAGAAUAGCACAUGCCAUUUGCUGAGGCAGGUCAGAAGCAACAAGGCUGUUAGUUGUGUAAACAUUUCUGAAGAUAAUAAAGUGGACAGGACUAAGCAAUGGUUUCAGCAAAUACACUGAAUUUGAUAAGAAGUUUCCUUCCAUAAUAAAAAAAAAAUCAGUGAAAUGAAUCACCUGAAUCAGAAUCAAAUAUUCAACUAAAAAUUUAAACUAUUUUUAAGAAUAUCUGAGCUAGUAAAUUUGGCCAACUAUAAAAUGGUUCAGAUUUUUGCAAAUACAUACACAAAGUUUAGAUGAAUGAUGGUAAACCUUUUUUUUCCACUGUUAAGUUAUGGAAAUUUUGUUAGAAAAUUAUGAAGAAAAAAAGAUCUUUUAUUGAUUGUGAGAGAUCUUCCACUAAACUACCCAACUAUUGCUCAUAGAAUGAAAGACAUUUUAAUAAUAUCAAAAAUAGACUGAUUCAAAAUUUUUUUAAUUGCAAGUACUUUUCUUUAGCUCUAGAUGAGUCAUGCAAUAUUAAAGAUUCUGCCCAAUUAAUAUUUGUGUGCAUUUUGUCUCGACAGAUGUCCAAACUUAUGAAGGAAUGUUGUCAAUUUAUGGCCAACAAAACCAAACUCGUGGCAUAGAUAUUUUUGAAUCAUUUGUAUCUGCCAAAUUAGAAUGAAAAAUUAGUUCCUCUAGAUAUGAGAAAUUAGUUUCUAUUAUGAUGGAUAGUACUCUAGCCAUAUUAGAUUUAAAAAUCCAGAUUUUAUUGGAAUUCUGAAACAAGAGACAUGUUUCCUCUAUGAGAGUUUUUUUUCCCUUAGUUUUUGAAGAAUCAUGUAAAAUGUCAUGGAUAUAGCCGUUCUGAUCUUUCAGUAUACACAAGCAGAUGUGUAAAUUAUGGCCAGUUUGGGGAAGUAUUGAAAGAAAAAGGACAAUAAAUAUAAUGAUCUUGGGUUCUUGGCCAAUGCUGGUUGGUUCAAUGAUAGAAGAUUUUUUUUUUAAGGUUUGCUCCAAUUUGGGAUUUUCUUGAAGCAUGAAGGUUGCUUGCCAAAUAUUAAAUAAUCCUAGGCAAAAUAUGGCAAUAUCACACUACAUUUGAACAAGCAAAAUUUGAAGUUCCCAGGAAAAGCUUUUUUAUGACCUAGUUAGACAGAUAUGGGAAUUUUUGCUGAAAUUAUUUAUAAUAAAAAUCAAUAAUAAUGCUUUUGUGCAUUUCCUAACAUGAACCAAUAUGCAGAAGAUUUUAAGUGUAUGUAAUAGUAUUAUUUAAAUCUGCUACAGAAACUACAAGAAAAUUUGAAGAAAGCUUUGUUGACAUUAGCAAAUUUAGAACUGCUUUUCAAUUUAUGCAACGUCUUUGAACUCUGUACUAAUAAUGUGCAGUUGACUCAAGAGUUAGUCAAUUUACUGAAUUUGAACAGAAGUAGUUUUGAAAUUAAUGUGCUUUUUCCUUCAAAGCCAAAUUGAUUCUUCUGAAAAAGAUGAACCAGUUUUGUGAUGUAGAUAUAAAUAUUAAAGAAAAAUUAUCUUUUGAUACCAUAUUCAGGUACUGGAAAACGUUUAAGUAUGUUUGGGAUAACUUGAGGGUGUGAAUUUACUUUUUCAACUGUGAAGUUUAGAAAUUUAAUUGCAGAUAAAAUAUUUCCAAUGAAAAUUUAGUGCCCAAAUUAAGACGUACUAUAAAACAGAAACAGACUCACACACAUAGAAGACAAACUUAUGGUUACAAGGGGAAAAGCAGGUGGGAAGGGAUAAAUUGGGAGUUCAAGAUUUGCAGAUACUAACAACUAUGUAUAAAGAAGAUAAACAACAAAUUUAUACUGUAUAGCACAGGGAACUAUAUUCAAUAUCUUGUAGUAACCUAUAAUGAAAAAGAAUAUGAAAAGAAAUAUAUGUAUGUAUAUGUAUGACUGAAACAUUAUGCUGUAAACUAGAAACUGACACAUUGUAAACUAACUAUACAUCAAUAAAAGUUUUUUAAUUAAAAAAAGUGCUGUAAAAAACACAUUGGAUUUUGAUAACUUGGUUAAAAAAGGAUGCAAAAUAGCUCAUUAAUA